rnacentral:rRNA from 1 species
CAGGCCUAACACAUGCAAGUCGAACGGAAAGGCCCUGCUUUUGUGGGGUGCUCGAGUGGCGAACGGGUGAGUAACACGUGAGUAACCUGCCCUUGACUUUGGGAUAACUUCAGGAAACUGGGGCUAAUACCGGAUAGGAGCUCCUGCUGCAUGGUGGGGGUUGGAAAGUUUCGGCGGUUGGGGAUGGACUCGCGGCUUAUCAGCUUGUUGGUGGGGUAGUGGCUUACCAAGGCUUUGACGGGUAGCCGGCAUGAGAGGGUGACCGGCCACAUUGGGACUGAGAUACGGCCCAGACUCCUACGGGAGGCAGCAGUGGGGAAUAUUGCACAAUGGGCGGAAGCCUGAUGCAGCAACGCCGCGUGCGGGAUGACGGCCUUCGGGUUGUAAACCGCUUUCGCCUGUGACGAAGCGUGAGUGACGGUAAUGGGUAAAGAAGCACCGGCUAACUACGUGCCAGCAGCCGCGGUGAUACGUAGGGUGCGAGCGUUGUCCGGAUUUAUUGGGCGUAAAGGGCUCGUGGGUGGUUGAUCGCGUCGGAAGUGUAAUCUUGGGGCUUAACCCUGAGCGUGCUUUCGAUACGGGUUGACUUGAGGAAGGUAGGGGAGAAUGGAAUUCCUGGUGGAGCGGUGGAGUGCGCAGAUAUCAGGAGGAACACCAGUGGCGAAGGCGGUUCUCUGGGCCUUUCCUGACGCUGAGGAGCGAAAGCGUGGGGAGCGAACAGGCUUAGAUACCCUGGUAGUCCACGCUGUAAACGGUGGGUACUAGGUGUGGGGUCCAUUCCACGGGUUCCGUGCCGUAGCUAACGCUUUAAGUACCCCGCCUGGGGAGUACGGCCGCAAGGCUAAAACUCAAAGGAAUUGACGGGGCCCCGCACAAGCGGCGGAGCAUGCGGAUUAAUUCGAUGCAACGCGUAGAACCUUACCUGGGUUUGACAUGGAUCGGGAGUGCUCAGAGAUGGGUGUGCCUCUUUUGGGGUCGGUUCACAGGUGGUGCAUGGCUGUCGUCAGCUCGUGUCGUGAGAUGUUGGGUUAAGUCCCGCAACGAGCGCAACCCUUGUUCACUGUUGCCAGCACGUUAUGGUGGGGACUCAGUGGAGACCGCCGGGGUCAACUCGGAGGAAGGUGGGGAUGACGUCAAGUCAUCAUGCCCCUUAUGUCCAGGGCUUCACGCAUGCUACAAUGGCUGGUACAGAGAGUGGCGAGCCUGUGAGGGUGAGCGAAUCUCGGAAAGCCGGUCUCAGUUCGGAUUGGGGUCUGCAACUCGACCUCAUGAAGUCGGAGUCGCUAGUAAUCGCAGAUCAGCAACGCUGCGGUGAAUACGUUCCCGGGGCUUGUACACACCGCCCGU